AUUGAACGCUGGCGGCGUGCUUAACACAUGCAAGUCGAUCGGUAACGCGGGGGCAACCCUGGCGACGAGAGGCGGACGGGUGAGGAACGCUUGGGAAUCUGCCUAUCAGCGGGGGACAACACGGGGAAACUCGUGCUAAUACCGCAUACGCUCGACGGAGGAAAGCCGGGGACCGCAAGGCCUGGCACUGAUAGAUGAGCCCAAGCCGGAUUAGCUAGUUGGCGGGGUAACGGCCCACCAAGACGACGAUCCGUAGCUGGUCUGAGAGGACGAUCAGCCACACUGGAACUGAGACACGGUCCAGACUCCUACGGGAGGCAGCAGUGGGGAAUAUUGGACAAUGGGGGAAACCCUGAUCCAGCGACGCCGCGUGGGUGAAGAAGGCCUUCGGGUUGUAAAGCUCUUUCGGCCGGGAAGAAAUCGCACGGGCUAAUACCCUGUGUGGAUGACGGUACCGGAAUAAGAAGCACCGGCUAACUACGUGCCAGCAGCCGCCGUAAGAC
rnacentral:rRNA from 1 species